AUUGAACGCUGGCGGCAGGCCUAACACAUGCAAGUCGAACGGUAACAGGAAGCAGCUUGCUGCUUUGCUGACGAGUGGCGGACGGGUGAGUAAUGUCUGGGAAACUGCCCGAUGGAGGGGGAUAACUACUGGAAACGGUAGCUAAUACCGCAUAACGUCGCAAGACCAAAGAGGGGGACCUUAGGGCCUCUUGCCAUCGGAUGUGCCCAGAUGGGAUUAGCUAGUAGGUGGGGUAACGGCUCACCUAGGCGACGAUCCCUAGCCGGUCUGAGAGGAUGACCAGCCACACUGGAACUGAGACACGGUCCAGACUCCUACGGGAGGCAGCAGUGGGGAAUAUUGCACAAUGGGCGCAAGCCUGAUGCAGCCAUGCCGCGUGUAUGAAGAAGGCCUUCGGGUUGUAAAGUACUUUCAGCGGGGAGGAAGGGAGUAAAGUUAAUACCUUGGCUCAUUGACGUUACCCGCAGAAGAAGCACCGGCUAACUCCGUG
rnacentral:rRNA from 1 species